CGCUUUUCCCGCUGCCCAGGCCCGGCUCAGGCCCUGAACCCGCAGCGCUGUGGACGCGCGAACGCACCGCUCUGGACGGUCAGCCCGUCUUCCCUGGACAUUUCCAAACAUCCCCUGGGGGCAAUUCCAAAGCAGCCUACCUUUGAAGCCACUGUUCUAAAGACAGAACUCUUCCUCCAACAGGAACACAGCGUUAACCUAUUUUAUUCAUUGACUUGAGAUUGAAAUCAAAGAAUGAAAUGCAACGUUGCUGAAAACCAGACCAUCUUAAAAUCAAAGUGUGAUGCUCUGGGUGCAAGUCAGACACUGGUCCACUGUGCCUCCUCAUUGCAGGGACACAUACCACACUCUGGCUGGUCUCGGGGAUGCCCUUCUUGACUUGAGAUGAAGAAAGAAGCAUCCCCAUCAUACUCCCUUUGUGCAUAUUGGAAAGGACCCAGAGAGCACCUCUCUCCAAAUACAUUUCCUUCAAAAUUUUUUCUCUCAGUUUCAACUCUUUUAUGUAUUUGACUUGGCUGAAGUAGUCAAGAGUUGUAUAAACAGUUUUCAUCCUAAUUUGUAAGCCCUCUGGGGUGGUCUGUCUUAUAACUCACUUUGGUAUUUAACAUCUAUUGUCUUUAUGUCUUAGCCAAAACUGGGAAAGAAACCCAUUUUUAUAUAUUUUAUACGUGAAGAGCAUUUAUAACACUGUUUAAUAAGUGUUAGCUAUUAUUACUAUCCUGGACAUAAAACAAGACAUGGGUAGUUUAAGAUAAGUGGAACUAAAACAAAAAAAACCACUCAGGUUGUCUUUCUUUAACAAAUAGCCUUGGAUAAUAAAUUUUAUGUUUUCUACAUAGAAGAGAUUUUGCUCUAUUUGGGAUACAUUAACUACAGUUAAACUUAAGCAGAGCAAUGGACUCAUGAUUUCUUAUUUCUAGUUAGUGAUGCUUUGAAACUGAGCCACACUAAGCAACGUUUUGUGCAGCAGCAAUUGUGACUGGACUGAUAUGUUCACAAGAGAGCUCAUAAGCAAUGACAUCCCCAUAGAAAUGAAUACACUGGUUUCCAAAUAUUAUUCUUCAUUAAAAGGAACCAGGACUCCUUAGAUAAAUGGCUGGUUCCAGGGCCAGGGCAGGGUAAAUGUAUGACGAAUUUGAAACAUUUUAUUGCACAAGAAAGUAGAGACAUGCUUAAAAUAUGACAGGAACAUGUCAAAAGGACACAGGAACUGGCUUGAAGGGACUCUCUUGGGCAAAUCUGGGUCAAUUUAAGCAUUAAAAAAAUUUAUAGUAAUGGAUUAUAAUCCCUUGAAUAAAAUAGGAAGCCAUGAGUC